UCCGAAUUGGUGUAGUGGCUAACAUUUGACGCUCUCAAUUGAUCUUUGGAUCGCUUGAAACGGUACCGUCAAGCCCGGGGUUCGAUUCCCCGAUUCGGAG
rnacentral:tRNA from 1 species